GGGAUAGAAUUCCAGGAGUAGCGGUGAAAUGCGUAGAUAUCUGGAGGAAUACCAAAGGCGAAGGCAGUCCCCUGGUCCGAUACUGACACUGAGGUACGAAAGCGUGGGGAGCAAACAGGAUUAGAUACCCUGGUAGUCCACGCCCUAAACGAUGUCGAUUAGCCAUUGGAAGGACCCCUUUUCCUUUCAGUGACGUAGCUAACGCGUUAAAUCGACCGCCUGGGAAGUACGACCGCAAGGUUAAAACUCAAAGGAAUUGACGGGGACCUGAACAAGCGGUGAAUGAUGUGGAUUAAUUCGAUGCUACGCGAAGAACCUUGCCUACCUUUGACAUGGCCAAAGUUCUACCGAGAGGCGGAAGUACUCGUAAGAGGAUUGGCGCACAGGUGCUGCAUGGUUGUCGUCAGUUCGUGUCGUGAGAUGUUGGGUUCAGUCCCGCAACGAACGCAACCCUUAUCUUUAAUUGCUCCUAUUUUAACAGGCACUUUAAAGAAACUGCCAAUGAUAAGUUGGAGGAAGGUGGGGAUCACGUCAAGUCCGCAUGGCCUUUAUAGGUAGGGCUUCACACGUCAUACAAUGGUUAGAACAAAGAGCUGCAAAUUCGUAAGAAGGAGCCAAUCUCACAAACCUAACCUCAGUUCGAAUUGCGGUCUGCAACUCGAGCGCAUGAAGCCGGAAUCGCUAGUAAUCGUGGAUCAGAAUGCCACGGUGAAUACGUUCUUAGGUCUU
rnacentral:rRNA from 1 species